rnacentral:miRNA from 1 species
GGCUCUGGCUGGCUUCAGGAGCUGCUCGCUGCCGUGGUGCAGGAAAAAUGGCGGGCGCUAUGGCAGCGAGCAGCAAGCAGCUCCUGAAGCCAGCCAGAGCCA